rnacentral:rRNA from 1 species
AUACGUAGGUGGCAAGCGUUGUCCGGAAUUAUUGGGCGUAAAGCGCGCGCUGGUGGUUCCUUAAGUCUGAUGUGAAAGCCCCCGGCUCAACCGGGGAGGGUCAUUGGAAACUGGGGAACUUGAGUGCAGAAGAGGAUAGUGGAAUUCCAAGUGUAGCGGUGAAAUGCGUAGAGAUUUGGAGGAACACCAGUGGCGAAGGCGACUGGCUGGUCUGUAACUGACACUGAGGCGCGAAAGCGUGGGGAGCAAACAGGAUUAGAUACCCUGGUAGUCCACGCCGUAAACGAUGAGUGCUAAGUGUUGGGGGGUUUCCGCCCCUCAGUGCUGCAGCUAACGCAUUAAGCACUCCGCCUGGGGAGUACGGUCGCAAGACUGAAACUCAAAUGAAUUGACGGGG